rnacentral:rRNA from 1 species
GAUGAACGCUGGCGGCGUGCCUAAUACAUGCAAGUCGAGCGAAUCGACCUUGAAGUUCGUACUCCUUGCACCCUGUGAAACAGGAUACAGGCUAGCGGCUGACGGGUGAGUAAGACGUGGGUAACCUCGCCAAGAGAGCGCGAUAACAGCUGAAAAUAUAUGACAAUAUGGUAUAACAACAAAUGAUGCCUAUGCACUGUUUAAAAGAUGGAUCUGCUAUCCCUUUGCGAUUUGGCCGCGCUACAUUAGCUAGUUGGUAAGGUAACGACCUACCAAGGCAACGAUGCUUAGCCGAGUUGAGAGACUGAUCGGCCACACUGGAACUGAGACACGGCCCAGACUCCUACGGGAGGCAGCAGUAGGGAAUCUUCCACAAUGGACGCAAGUCUGACGGAGCAACGCCGCGUGAGUGAAGAAGGGUUUCGGAUCGUAAAGCUCUGUUGUUGGUGAAGAAGGACAGGGGUAGUAACUAAGCUCUGUUUGACGGUAAUCAAUUAGAAAGCCACGGCUAACUACGUG